CCCGCUUCUCUCUUCCGUUUCGCAAUCCGACUGAGUAGUCUCUCAUCGCCGGCUGCCAAGAAUUUUCUCACCUAGUUUAAUUCACGUCGUUUUGCGCUUCGAUCGCAAUGGCGGUUCGCCGAAGAGCGACGAGGAGAAAUACCAAUGCGCCAAGGGAAAACAUAAUAACGAGGAAUUGCUUCGUGGAAUGACAGAACCUCGAGGAACUUGCGAACUCUGGUCGAAUGCGGAUACAGUUCGAGAGGCUGUGUUCGGCAUGUGAGAAAUCGAAAUCGAGCAGAGGCAAAAUAAGGGCAGAAACAUCGUUCACGGUACUUUAAAGUUCCAUGAAGAUGAAAGAAGACGAAC
rnacentral:misc_RNA from 1 species